UCUUUAUUUUUUCAAAUGUGCAGCCUUAUUCAUACUACCUUUUGUUAGAAAAAUGAAAGAAGAGAAGGCAUAGAAAUGAGCUUGGUAACUAGCAUUCUUGUAGGUGGAUUUGCCAAAAUGGAAAAUGUAGACACUUUUGGGUUGCCAUUUCAAUUGUCUUCUUUGUUGCUGCUACAUUAUUUACUCUACUGAAACUUUGUGAUUUAAUCUUCCCCAGGUUGUAAAGUAUAUUUUGGUCUUAGAUAGCCAGCCAAGACCAAUCUGAC